rnacentral:tRNA from 1 species
AUUAAGGUGUCUGAUUUAAGUAGUAAACUGUAAAUUUAUUUAAGGACUUACUAAUAGUCUUCUUAAUA